UGGUGGGGGUAGUAUCUAAUCCGCGUCCGUCGUUGAGAGGCCCCGAACGGCUCCUCGCUUCCGUCUAUAUAAGAUUCUAGGGUUUCUGCAACGUCGUUUUUCCAAUAUCCUUCUCCAUUACCAUGAGCAUCUAGGGUUUUAUCUGCAAAUCCCUGCUGUUCUUCUGCCAUCCAAUGGCGGGAUCUCGAGUCCAAGUCAACAAGGCUCACAAGAGCCGUUUUGCUUCCAAAGCGUCUAGGCAAGUCCACAGGACUUCUCGAACUGAUAAGAGCCGGAUCUCAAAACCUGACCCGCAUGGAGUUGUGAAGGGCGCCCGUGCUGCGCGGGUUCAGCGCAGCAAAAUGGUGCGAGAUCAGAAACGUGCUGCUCUUUUGAAAGAAAAAAGGGCUACUAGUGGCUCAGCAAGUCCUCCCCGCGUAAUUGUUCUUUUUGGCCUUUCUGCGUCGGUAAAAAUAAAUUUGCUUGCAAAAGAUCUAUUGACGUCAUUAUCACCAGAGGGUACCGAACCUACAUCUACUACCGUUGCAUCUCCUACUUACAAACUCCGAACAACAAUUCUGGAAGCACCUCAUGGGGAUUUGUUGUCAUGCAUGGAAAUGGUGAAGGCUGCCGAUCUUAUCGCUUUUGUGGCAUCGGGAAGCUCUUUGUAUGAGGGAGGUGAAUCUGGUAGUUUUAUGGAUUCUUUUGGAAGUCAGUGUCUGUCUGUCUUCAGGGCACUAGGUUUACCAAGUACAGUCGUCCUGAUUCGUGAUCUUCCUGCGGAUUUGAAAAAAAGGAACGACAUGAAGAAGUUGUGCUCCUCUAGCCUUGCUUCUGAAUUUCCUGAGGAUUGUAAGUUCUAUCCGGUGGAUACAAAGGAGGAGUUGCAUAAGUUCAUGUGGCUUUUCAAGGAACAACGCCUUUCUGUUCCUCAUUGGCGAAAUCAUCGACCUUAUCUCAUGGCUCAGGAGGUUGAUUUGGUAGCUGAUGAAGCCAACACAGGAAAAAGUACUCUCCUUAUGUCAGGUUAUGUGCGUGCUCACAGUUUGUCAGUGAACCAGCUGGUUCAUGUUUCAGGUGCAGGGGAUUUUCAGUUGGCCAUGUUAGACAUUCUCAAAGAUCCGUUUCCUAUAAAUGGAAAGAAAGAUCGGGACUCGAUGGAUUCAGAUGGAUCCCAUAGUGUACAGGUUAUUCGCUCAUUACUACCUGAUCCUUCAAAGCAAGAGCCUUUGCUUGUUGAAAAUAUCCUGGAUCCUCUUGCUGGAGAGCAGACAUGGCCAACAGAAGCUGAGAUGGUUGAAGCUGAUGCAGUUAACAAAAGAAAAAUGCUAAAGAAGAAGACUCUUCCUCGAGGAACGUCAGAAUACCAGGCUGCUUGGAUUGUAGAGGAUACAGAUGAUGAGGACUCGGAUGGUUGUGAGGAUCAUGGUGAUGGUAUGGUAUUGGAUGAAGGACAAAAUGAUCGUUUUGCCCAGGAAGGUAACAAUCACUCAGAUCUCGAUGAUGACGAAGGUUCUGUUUCAUUCAGCAUGAGAGAAUUUGAUGAAGAAACAGAAGCUGAUACGGCAAUGACUGAUGGUGAGAAUCUGACAAGAGAGCAGAUUGAAGUUGAGAUUCAAAAGAUUAAAGAAGCACAUGCUGAAGAUGAGGAAUUUCCAGAUGAAGUGGACACACCAUUAGAUAUUCCUGCUCGUAAGCGUUUCGCCAAGUACAGAGGCCUUAAAUCUUUCAGGACUUCUUCAUGGGAUCCAAAGGAAUCUUUGCCUCCCGAUUAUGCUAGAAUUUUUGCAUUCGAUAAUUUUGCAAGAACACAAAAGCAUGUCCUUGCAAAAGCUCUUGACAUAGAUCAAGGGAGCAUGGAUGAUUGUGUACCAGUUGGUACGUACGUGAGGCUCCAUAUCAAGCAAGUACCGGUUGAUGCUGCUUCUAAACUAUGCAUGUUGUUCAAAACAUUGCCUCUGCUAGUAUGCGGUCUCUUGCAACAUGAGUCUAAGAUGUCGGUCCUUCAUUUUAGCAUAAAGAAGCAUGAUUCUUAUGAUGCUCCUAUCAAAUCCAAAGAAUCACUCAUUUUUCAUGUUGGAUUCCGCCAAUUUAUUGCACGGCCGAUAUUUUCUUCGGAUAAUAUAAACUCAGAAAAGCAUAAGAUGGAGAGAUUUUUACACGAGGGCUGCUUUUCCAUAGCUUCUGUUUAUGCCCCUAUUUCUUUUCCUUCCUUGCCUUUGAUAGUUUUGAAGAGUGGGCAUGGGGAGGUUGCUGCACCUGCUGUUGCUGCUGUCGGUUCCUUAAGAAGUGUUGACCCUGACAGGAUAAUUCUGAAGAAAAUCAUUUUAACUGGUUACCCUCAGCGAGUGUCGAAAUUAAAAGCUACCGUUCGAUUUAUGUUUCACCAUCCUGAAGAUGUCAGAUGGUUCAAGCCUGUGGAUGUGUGGACGAAAUGUGGUCGCCGCGGUCGCGUGAAGGAACCUGUUGGUACCCAUGGGGCUAUGAAGUGCGUCUUCAAUGGUGUUGUUCAGCAGCAUGAUACUGUCUGUAUGAGCCUGUACAAACGUGCAUUUCCCAAAUGGCCAGAACAACUGGUUCCAAUCCUAAAUGCAUAGUCGUAAGCGACGGCUGGUUUUCUUUCGCUUGAAAGGGAGGAAAACUGUAUGCUGUUGUUUGGGAGUGAAGCUGUGGUUCAGAUCGACAUUGAGAGUGUUACUACCACAUCUCGUGUCUGCAGUUUCAGGUUAGAUCAGGCGGCUGCAUGAUUAGUGACCUGAACUAUGCUUCUGGUGUGGCCCAUUGCCCAUGGGCAACUUUGUAAAUAUCGCGUUGGACAAUCCUUUCUGAUUUUGCACAAGGUUAAAAGAAAUUGGCGACAAAUGUUUGUAAAAUCAGGUGCUAGAAUUGCCCAUUUGAUUUAGUCAUCCAUUAUUGUAGGACCAACCAGAUGCAUGGUUUGGUUUAUCUGAAUGUGCAUCCCUGUCUCCAUCAUGAGAACCUCUUUGGAAGUCCACCCUAGGAAAGCAAAUAGUUUUCUUUUUU